ensembl:snoRNA
CAGAUACAAUGAUGAUCACAUAGUUCAGCAGAUGGAACAGUGCUGAUCUGUCUUUCGCUCCUAUCUGAUGUAUCUG